rnacentral:rRNA from 1 species
AAAUUAAAAUAUAGUUUUUAAAAAAAUUUAUUAAAUUUUCUUUAUAUGACUUUAGUGUAAUUUAUACAAAAUAGAAGAAAUAUUUUUUAAUUAAUAAUAUUAAAUUAGAAAUUUAAUUCAGGAUUUGGCUAAACUUGUGCCAGCCGCCGCGGUUAUACAAGUAAAUUCUUUUUUUUAAAGUAAUUUUUAUAAGAAUUUAAUUAAUAAUAAGUGUUUAUAAAGGUGGAAUUUUUAAACAUAUUUAAGAAAUUUGAUUUAAAGAAUUUUUAUUAUAACUAGGAUUA